UAGUGGACCGCGGGUAUAUAGUGUUUGGUUUAUGUAUGGGAGAAGUUUUUUUCUUACUCUCAACUUCGCGGGGGAACUUCGGCUCGAACAUCCAACCUAGGUUUGAUAUAACACAACCUGUGUGUUUGGUACCAUCAAGACAAAAAUAACACUGAUCGAGCAAAACUUAUCUUGUCUCGGUUUCUUUGUUGUCUCUGAAGAUUUGACUGCCAUAAAAAAUAUUAAUCGAGAUUCUUUUGUUAUGUUAAUUUAAAGCUUUGUAAUAUUGUCUCGUUUAAUAUGCUUAAAUGUCACUGCAGCCCACGUGAAUUUAUCUUCAAGAAAAGGUUUGUUUUUCUUUGUCCAAGUUGUUUCGAAACUUGUUAACAAUCAUUUGUUAUGAAACCAUGCACCAUCAGCAUUUUCGAAAAAUCUUCAACGAGAGAAAUUUUUAAGGAUUUUAUUGGUAACUUAACAGAGUAAUAAUUCAUUGAAAUUGAAAUUGUUCAGAAGUUAUUAUAUAUAUUCGAAUCGUGAAGUUCAUACAUAGGAAUCCUGCAUCCUGGAAUUUUCGAGAUCAGUUAUAAAAAAAUCCAGUUAAAGUUUUUACUAUUGUUUUAGAAUAUAUACUAUAUAUAUGUAAAAAAAAAAUUAUUUUUUAUUUAUCAAGUUGUAUUUUACGUUAAUUACAAUAAUAAUUGAGAAUUAGGAUA